UCCAAACGCUCCAUUGCCAGUAGAGAUCAUUCUUUGCCUGAAGACAAAGAGAGAAGCCCACACUGGUGACUUGGUUGGGACUCCGGGUCCAACGCCCUAAAUCAAUUACAAUUUAAUUUGGUUAGGCUACUCCAUGUUUCCACUAUACUCAAACUGGACAGUGUUCCUUCUCUACCCCAUGGAGAGCACUUACCGGAUUUGACUGAAGUCUUCAUCUCUUCUCCUCUACUCAUCCACUGACGGUUGAUCCCUCUGUUCUCAGUGGAACGCUCGCUGAGCACCUGCGCUCGGGAGAAGGGCGUGGAGAUACACUCGAAAGGUACUCGUACGCGGCCAGGCUGAGUGAAUCGGGGAGUUGGCCCGGUUCUUCCGCGCGCAUGGAGGGAGACGUUAUGGACAAGCUAGAUAGCAUGGCUGCGGUGUGUGACUUCGAUCCCAUUGCGGGAAGCGUCCCGGCCACCAAAGUGGAGAUCACCGUGUCAUGCAGGAAUCUAUUAGACAGAGACACAUUCUCCAAAUCUGAUCCAUUGGUGGUGUUGUUACACCCAGGGCGUGGAGACCAAACA